rnacentral:RNase_P_RNA from 1 species
CGAGCCGGCCGGGCGGCCGCGUCGGGGACCACGGUCCCCGCCGAGGAAGGUCCGGGCUCCACAGGGCAGGGUGGUCGGUAACGCCGACCCGGGGCGACCCGCGGGAAAGUGCCACAGAGAACAGACCGCCACCGACCCGUUCGGUGGUAAGGGUGAAACGGUGAGGUAAGAGCUCACCAGCGCCCAGGGUGACCUGGGCGGCUCGGUAAACCCCACCCGGAGCAAGGUCAAGAAGGAGGGCCACGGCUCUCCGCGCAGGCGUCUGAGGGCGGCCCGCCCGAGCCUGCGGGUAGACCGCUGGAGGCUGUCGGCAACGGCAGCCCGAGAUGGAUGGCCGCCACCCGCGCACGCGGGCACAGAACCCGGCCUACAGGCCGACUCGUCCG